rnacentral:rRNA from 1 species
AACGAACGCUGGCGGCAGGCCUAACACAUGCAAGUCGAACGCCCGUAGCAAUACGGGAGUGGCAGACGGGUGAGUAACGCGUGGGAACGUGCCCUUCGGUUCGGAAUAACUCAGGGAAACUUGAGCUAAUACCGGAUACGUCCGUAAGGAGAAAGAUUUAUCGCCGAAGGAUCGGCCCGCGUCGGAUUAGCUAGUUGGUGAGGUAACGGCCCACCAAGGCGACGAUCCGUAGCUGGUCUGAGGGGAUGAUCAGCCACACUGGGACUGAGACACGGCCCAGACUCCUACGGGAGGCAGCAGUGGGGAAUAUUGGACAAUGGGCGAAAGCCUGAUCCAGCCAUGCCGCGUGAGUGAAGAAGGCCUUAGGGUUGUAAAGCCCUUUCAGCGGGGAAGAUAAUGACGGUACCCGCAGAAGAAGCCCCGGCUAACUUCGUGCCAGCAGCCGCGUAAG